rnacentral:rRNA from 1 species
UACGUAGGGUGCAAGCGUUAUCCGGAAUUAUUGGGCGUAAAGAGCUCGUAGGCGGUUUGUCGCGUCUGCUGUGAAAACCGGAGGCUCAACCUCCGGCCUGCAGUGGGUACGGGCAAACUAGAGUGCGGUAGGGGAGAUUGGAAUUCCUGGUGUAGCGGUGGAAUGCGCAGAUAUCAGGAGGAACACCGAUGGCGAAGGCAGAUCUCUGGGCCGUAACUGACGCUCAGGCGCGAAAAGCUAGGGGGAGCGAACAGG